rnacentral:rRNA from 1 species
UUUAAAUGUAAAUUUUUGAACUAAAUUAGUAAUAGAUAUGAUCUUCAAAUUUAAAGAUUUUGGCGGUAUUUUAGUCUAUUCAGAGGAACCUGUUCUGUAAUUGAUAGUCCACGAUUAACUUUACUUAAUUUUAAAAAUUUGUAUAUCGUUGUUUAUAGAAAAUUUUAUAAGAAAAAUAAUUUUUAAUAAAUUUUAUUAAAUUAUAAAUCAAAUCAAGGUGCAGUUUAUAGUUAAGGUAGAAAUGGGUUACAAUAAAUUUAUUUAUUAAUGGAUAUAAAUUUUAAAAUUUUAUUAAAGGUGGAUUUGAUAGUAAUAUUGUUUAUUUUAAUAAUAUGAUUAUAGCUCUAAAAUAUGU